rnacentral:rRNA from 1 species
UGCCUGGCGGCCAUAGCGCGGUGGUCCCACCUGAUCCCAUGCCGAACUCAGAAGUGAAACGCCGUAGCGCCGAUGGUAGUGUGGGGGCUCCCCAUGCGAGAGUAGGACACUGCCAGGCAU